GCAGCACAAUGUGGUCAAGGAGAUUGAUCUAUUUUUUCCCUAACACCUCCCGGGGUUUACCCAGCCCCUCCACUUGGGCUCUACAUGGGUGAAAUUCAGUUUAGUGUGUACACGUUUUUCUGCUAUGAGCUUCAACAUCUCCAUGACAAUAAGCUAAAAGUGGCAUAGAUGUGGUGGGGAUAGGGUACCCUGAAAUAGGUUAGUUAGAUGAAAUUAGGACACAUUUAAUGCCAGAAUCAGCAGUGCAACAUGGAUAUCUGCUGCAUUGUCAGAUGGUAGAUCAAAGGUGAGGAACGCCUUGUAGAUGAAUCACAGAACCAUUGAACAAUUUAAGUUAGAAAAGAUCUUUAAGCUCAUCACAUCCAACCUCUAACCCAGCUGAGAUGAGGAAAAGUGCUCCUUGAAAAGAGGGAGUUAAUUGACUGUGUUGGGCACAAGUGAUGAGACAUUGUCUCCAGAUAAAAGAUACAAACACAAAAUGCUGAGACAGUGAAGACAAGAAGCAAGGCUUGAAUGCUCUAAUUUGAAAUUCCUGCAUUAUGUGUAAUAAAACCCAGCUGUGGUGGGACUCCUUCACUUGUUUGAAUACUGAGACCUGUGGCUGGGAUAGAAAUGGACAAGGAUAUGGCUGUAGCUACUUUGGUCACCACACUGCAGGUAGGAGGAAUACAGGAGCUGCAUCAUCACUCCUUCCUUGCUUCCUCCCAAAGCCACGUGCCUGUUGUCUGUACAAGCACAGGUGCUUCCCUCAGAGCAGAGCAUGUCAGGAUAUUGCAUGAAGAAAUGUCAGCUACACAGAUGAUUUUCAAGACAGCAUGAAUGAAACAAAAUGUUGGCAUGGUCUAGCUGAAUUUCCUGACAAGAUAAACAUUAAAUUAAAUGUGAGACAUA